ACGAACGCUGGCGGCGUGCCUAAUACAUGCAAGUCGAACGAAACUUUCUUACACCGAAUGCUUGCAUUCACCGUAAGAAGUUGAGUGGCGGACGGGUGAGUAACACGUGGGUAACCUGCCUAAAAGAAGGGGAUAACACUUGGAAACAGGUGCUAAUACCGUAUAUCUCUAAGGAUCGCAUGAUCCUUAGAUGAAAGAUGGUUCUGCUAUCGCUUUUAGAUGGACCCGCGGCGUAUUAACUAGUUGGUGGGGUAACGGCCUACCAAGGUGAUGAUACGUAGCCGAACUGAGAGGUUGAUCGGCCACAUUGGGACUGAGACACGGCCCAAACUCCUACGGGAGGCAGCAGUAGGGAAUCUUCCACAAUGGACGCAAGUCUGAUGGAGCAACGCCGCGUGAGUGAAGAAGGUCUUCGGAUCGUAAAACUCUGUUGUUAGAGAAGAACACGAGUGAGAGUAACUGUUCAUUCGAUGACGGUAUCUAACCAGCAAGUCACGGCUAACUACGUGCCAGCAGCCGCGGUAAUACGUAGGUGGCAAGCGUUGUCCGGAUUUAUUGGGCGUAAAGGGAACGCAGGCGGUCUUUUAAGUCUGAUGUGAAAGCCUUCGGCUUAACCGGAGUAGUGCAUUGGAAACUGGAAGACUUGAGUGCAGAAGAGGAGAGUGGAACUCCAUGUGUAGCGGUGAAAUGCGUAGAUAUAUGGAAGAACACCAGUGGCGAAAGCGGCUCUCUGGUCUGUAACUGACGCUGAGGUUCGAAAGCGUGGGUAGCAAACAGGAUUAGAUACCCUGGUAGUCCACGCCGUAAACGAUGAAUGCUAGGUGUUGGAGGGUUUCCGCCCUUCAGUGCCGCAGCUAACGCAAUAAGCAUUCCGCCUGGGGAGUACGACCGCAAGGUUGAAACUCAAAGGAAUUGACGGGGGCCCGCACAAGCGGUGGAGCAUGUGGUUUAAUUCGAAGCAACGCGAAGAACCUUACCAGGUCUUGACAUCCUACUAACGAGAUAGAGAUAUGUUAGGUGCCCUUCGGGGAAAGUCGAGACAGGUGGUGCAUGGUUGUCGUCAGCUCGUGUCGUGAGAUGUUGGGUUAAGUCCCGCAACGAGCGCAACCCUUGUUGUCAGUUGCCAGCAUUAAGUUGGGCACUCUGGCGAGACUGCCGGUGACAAACCGGAGGAAGGUGGGGACGACGUCAAGUCAUCAUGCCCCUUAUGACCUGGGCUACACACGUGCUACAAUGGACGGUACAACGAGUCGCGAGACCGCGAGGUUUAGCUAAUCUCUUAAAGCCGUUCUCAGUUCGGAUUGUAGGCUGCAACUCGCCUACAUGAAGUCGGAAUAGCUAGUAAUCGCGAAUCAGCAUGUCGCGGUGAAUACGUUCCCGGGCCUUGUACACACCGCCCGUCACACCAUGAGAGUUUGUAACACCCAAAGCCGGUGGGGUAACCGCAAGGAGCCAGCCGUCUAAGGUGGGACAGAUGAUUGGGGUG
rnacentral:rRNA from 1 species